GAUGAAGAACGCAGCGAAAUGCGAUAAGUAAUGCGAAUUGCAGAAUCCGUGAAUCAUCGAAUCUUUGAACGCACAUUGCGCCCGCUGGUAUUCCGGCGGGCAUGCCUGUUCGAGCGUCAUUUCAACCCUCAAGCCCCCGGGUUUGGUGUUGGGGAUCGGCUCUGCCCUUCUGGGCGGUGCCGCCCCCGAAAUACAUUGGCGGUCUCGCUGCAGCCUCCAUUGCGUAGUAGCUAACACCUCGCAACUGGAACGCGGCGCGGCCAUGCCGUAAAACCCCAACUUCUGAAUGUUGACCUCGGAUCAGGUAGGAAUACCCGCUGAACUUAAGCAUAUCAAUAAGCGGAGGA
rnacentral:misc_RNA from 1 species